rnacentral:rRNA from 1 species
ACGGAAGUUAAGCCCUCCAGGGCCAAUGAUACUAUGGUCGUGAGGCCAUGGGAAAGUAGGUCGCUGCCGGGA